AUUGAACGCUGGCGGCAGGCCUAACACAUGCAAGUCGAACGGUAGCACAGAGAGCUUGCUCUCGGGUGACGAGUGGCGGACGGGUGAGUAACGUCUGGGAAACUGCCCGAUGGAGGGGGAUAACUACUGGAAACGGUAGCUAAUACCGCAUAACGUCGCAAGACCAAAGUGGGGGACCUUCGGGCCUUACACCAUCGGAUGUGCCCAGAUGGGAUUAGCUAGUAGGUGGGGUAAUGGCUCACCUAGGCGACGAUCCCUAGCUGGUCUGAGAGGAUGACCAGCCACACUGGAACUGAGACACGGUCCAGACUCCUACGGGAGGCAGCAGUGGGGAAUAUUGCACAAUGGGCGCAAGCCUGAUGCAGCCAUGCCGCGUGUAUGAAGAAGGCCUUCGGGUUGUAAAGUACUUUCAGCGGGGAGGAAGGCGGUGAAGUCAAUAACUUCACCGAUUGACGUUACCCGCAGAAGAAGCACCGGCUAACUCCGUGCCAGCCGCCGCAGUAA
rnacentral:rRNA from 1 species